UUUACAGCCAUGGUUACAGAUCUUACGUGAAAAUCUCCCUCUAGUCUGGAUUAGUUUUGCUCUUAUAGCAAAACCCCGGAGCUGCUUAUGUUGUUUUUUUUUCAUCGAUUCUGAGCAUCUUUUUUGCCCGAUGUGUUAAAAAUGCAACCUCCUGAUUUGGACGAAAGGUGCGGUAUCGGUUGUGCGGUAUCCCACACAGAUUUCCCAAGAGCCGGGACCUCCAAGAAGUCUUUGACGGAGCGGACAGGGCCGAAGCUACCGCCACCCAGCGUAUGUCGGCGUGUCACCGGCCUCCCUCGUCGUCCUCCCCGCAAUCCGUGCAGUUUUAUAAUCCCUUUUGUAACCGAUUCGCGCUUCAAUUUAUUAAUUAAUCCAGUGAUGGGCGGUCGCGCGCCAGGAGUUUAAUCAUAGAUAUGGUUAAUAAAUUGUUAGAACUCAGACCAAAAUGCAUUAACUGCCUAAU